AGCCUUAAAAGCUAAAUGGCCAGCUUUUAAUCUUGUAAAUUAAAGGAAGAAGGUUCGAAUCCUUUUUAAGGUUC
rnacentral:tRNA from 1 species